rnacentral:lncRNA from 1 species
GGGUGUGGUGGUGAGGAGGAGAGAAGAAUAAAGAUGGUUGCAAGGCUGCAGCCUGGGUGGAUGGCAGUGCCAUUUGCUGGGGGCGAGGAAGGCUCGGAGGAAGCCGACUGGGAGGAAAGGAACACAGGCACACACGCUCUAUCUUGGACAUUUUGAGUUGGAGGUGAUGUCAGCGCAGCAUUUGGAGGUGAUGUCAGAGAAGCAUUUGGAUACAGAGGUCUGGGCUAGAAACGCAAGUGUGGGAGCUCUCAGCACAGAGAUGGAACCCUGGGUGAGGGCAGCCCAGCCAGGAUGCUGAUGAAAUGCUUCUACUCAAUGAACCGGUGACAGGUUGAGCAUGUGUGAGAGCUGUCUGGUUACUCCUUCAUUCUCCAUGGGAUCUCCCCUGGGUCAUAUGCCACUGGAAUCUUGUCUGGACUGUGAUGCUGUGGCCCACUCAUUACUCCACACAAUGAAACCAGGACGCUUUUGGCUGCAUCUCACACUGCUUGGAGCCUCCCUGCCUGCUGCUUUGGGAUGGAUGAGCCCAGGAACCAGCAGAGGACUGAACACGGGUGGGGGAGAGUCCCCGGCAGAG